UUUAAGCACAGCUAUAAGUUUUCGUGUCCAACUUUGAUCGUUCGGCUUAUUUGAAAUUUUUUGUGAUUAGUAUUUUUAUUAUUAUUAGAUGAUAAAACAUGAAUAUACUUUAUACGUGAUUUAUGUUUUUGUUAAUGCCAAAAUUUAGUAAGAUUCUUAGUGGACUCGGUCAAAUAAAGAGGUCAAUCAAUCGACGGAAAUUUAUA
rnacentral:pre_miRNA from 1 species